UGAGGAAUAUUGGUCAAUGGACGCAAGUCUGAACCAGCCAAGUAGCGUGCAGGAUGACGGCCCUAUGGGUUGUAAACUGCUUUUAUAUGGGGAUAAAGUGGGGAACGUGUUCCCUUUUGCAGGUACCAUAUGAAUAAGGACCGGCUAAUUCCGUGCCAGCAGCCGCGGUAAUACGGAAGGUUCGGGCGUUAUCCGGAUUUAUUGGGUUUAAAGGGAGCGUAGGCCGUUUGGUAAGCGUGUUGUGAAAUGUAGGAGCUCAACUUCUAGAUUGCAGCGCGAACUGUCAGACUUGAGUGCACACAACGUAGGCGGAAUUCAUGGUGUAGCGGUGAAAUGCUUAGAUAUCAUGAAGAACUCCGAUUGCGAAGGCAGCUUACGGGAGCGAAACUGACGCUGAAGCUCGAAGGUGCGGGUAUCGAACAGG
rnacentral:rRNA from 1 species